ensembl:lncRNA
UUGGAUAGGUCUGGAUAGUUGGAUAGGUCUGGAUAGUUGGAUAGGUCUGGAUAGUUGUAUAGGGCUGGAUAGUUGGACAGGGCUGGAUAGUUGGACAGGGCUGGAUAGUUGGACAGGGCUGGAUAGUUGGACAGGGCUGAAUAGUUGGAUAGGGCUGGAUAGUUGGACAAGGCUGGAUAGUUGGACAGGGCUGGAUAGUUGGACAGGGCUGAAUAGUUGGAUAGGGCUGGAUAGUUGGAUAGGUCUGGAUAGUUGGAUAGGUCUGGAAAGGUCUGGAUAGUUGGAUAGGUCUGGAUAGUUGGAUAGGUCUGAAUAGUUGGAUAGGUCUGGAUAGUUGGAUAGGUCUGGAUAGUUGGAUAGGGCUGGAUAGUUGGAUAGGGCUGGAUAGUUGGAUAGGUCUGGAUAGUUGGAUAGGUCUGGAUAGGUCUGGAUAGUUGGAUAGGUCUGGAUAGGUGGAUAGGGCUGGAUAGUUGGAUAGUUCUGGAUAGGUCUGGGUAGUUGGGUAGGGCUGGAUAGGUCUGGAUAGUUGGAUAGGGCUGGAUAGGUCUGGAUAGUUGGGUAGGGAUGGAUAGGUCUGGAUAGGUCUGGAUAGGUCUGGAUAGUUGGAUUGGUCUGGAUAGGUCUGGAUAGUUGGAUUGGUCUGGAUAGGUCUGUUUAGUUGGAUAGGUCUGGUUAGUUGGAUAGGUCUGGAUAGUUGGUUGGGUCUCGAUAGUUGGAUAGGUCUGGAUAGUUGGAUAGGUCUGGAUAGGUCUGGAUAGUUGGAUAGGGCUGGGUAGUUGGAUAGGUCUGGAC